rnacentral:rRNA from 1 species
GAUAUGGCUCAGGAUGAACGCUGGCGGCGUGCUUAACACAUGCAAGUCGAGCGAAGCACUUUCGAUGAUCCUUCGGGUGAUUUGAUUGUGACUGAGCGGCGGACGGGGUGAAGGUAACGCGUGAGUAACCUGCCUCAUACAGGGGAAUAACAGUUAGAAAUGACUGCUAAUGCCGCAUAAGCGCACAGGGCCGCAUGGCCCGGUGUGAAAAACUCCGGU